GACACGGUGGUGCGCACAGGACGUUCCAAGUGGCGACACUCUACAGCUUUAUGCACUUUCCUUUACUGCUCGGCGCAGGGUUAGUGUCGAGUUGCCGAGAAACUUUGGAUUUCGGACGAGCGGCGAAAGCGGCGAGGGGAAAACGGAGUACAAGGUCACGCGUCGGGGCUGAUUAUUAACUUUUCCGGCGAAGAUCCUGGCUAUCCCAGUGACUCUCCGUCGAACCCGUGACCAUCUUUACUCCUUCACUCCGUGUUUUUCAAUAAGUAUUCGCAUAUGCAUAACAAUCAUGGCACAUGUAUUUUAAAUAGGAUAUAAUUAUAAAUUUAUAUUCGA